rnacentral:misc_RNA from 1 species
UUGACUCAUUUGUUUUCACUCAGAGAUACCACUGUAAUACACUAUAGUUUGAGACCUCCGGCGGGCGCCCCUCGCCCCGGAGGGCGUGGGCCACGGGCACCACGGGGGUUCCCGCACCGCCGAAGCAACGUGGAUGAGUUCGCGAUGGUUUGAAGUUGCCUUGCGGCGCCUUUUAAUGAUCCCUCCGCUGGUUCACCAACGGAGA